rnacentral:tRNA from 1 species
GGUUCCAUAGUGUUAGCACGUCUGCUUCACAUGCAGAAGGUCCUGGGUUUGCGCCCCAGUGGAGCCA